CGCAGGGUCACCUCGCGGGGCGGUGACCGUCGCCGGCUUUCGAGCACGGCCUCCCGUUGCCCCGAGGGAAGGUCGGUUGGAUGUCCCGAAGAAUUUCUUCUCCGACAGAGCGGCGAUGCGUCGGCUGCCCCAGGAGGCGGGGCGGUCCCCAUCCCUGGUGGCGCGAGACGCGGCACGGGGGGACGUGGGCAGUAUUGGCGGCAGGCGGGCCAUUGGGCUGGAUGACCUUUGAGGUCGCUUCCAACCUCAUGGCUCUCUUUAGACACGCCCGGGGCCAACUCCAUCCUGCACGCUGCUGUCGGCUCUGAGGUCUGAUCGGAGGCCUUCUCCUUUCCCUCGAGGCGCUGCUCGGCCGCUGUGUUGCUGCAGGGGUGCUGCGUGAGCGCAGAGCACAGCCGGCUUUGUCCACCCCGACAGGCUCGCCUUUCUUCCUGCCUAGAAACACCGCUGCGGGACUCGCCCCCCCCCCAGGGAAAGCAGAAGCUCCAGCGCGGGGCUGGGGACUAGAAGAGCCCCGUUAUGUGCUACGGAACAAAGGGAACAUAGAGCGAGAAGCCACCUCGCUUCGCAGAGCACCCCGGCUCCCACUCCAGCUGCUCCGUGCCGGGGGAGCAGCAGCACUGAGCCCUCCCGGGUCCCGCAGAGCUGCAAAGGAGCACGAGGGGCAGGUGCAGAGAGUGCAGGCGUAAGGAGGAGCCGGCAGCACCGCCGGACCGCAGGUUGUCAGACAGACCCCGCCAUCUCAUAACGUUAGGGUUGCAGAGAUGCAUCAGCAUCACUCCGGACGGCUUCUCUGCCGCCGUAGGCCAACGCUUUGCUCAAGCACGUGAAUCUAACAGAUAGAACUCCCCCCUCAACCCGCCGUGCUUUGAAACGCACCCAGCAACACCUGUCCCCAGCAGAGCCAGCCCUGCCCCACGUCGGAGCUGGGUUCCGUCGGGCUGGGUGUGGAGGUGCCGGCCAGCAUCUCUGCACGACAGCGAGCCUGAGAAGCUAAUUAGCGCCCGUUUGCUGCUUUCAGAGAGGAGAUUCUGAGCGCUGUUGGUAAACUCAUUUCAAGGAGUCGCACUCAAUUUGCAGUGACGGAUGCUCAUCGUGGCUUUGUUCCCACAUCUACAAAGAGCAGCGCCGCAGAGGGGCUUUGAUGAUCCCUCUCGUUUGGACAGCUGGCAGGGAGCAGGAUGCACGCAGGAAUAGAAGGGCACACGGGAGCCACGGCGUCCCCUUCACGAGAGCAAACGGAGAGGCUGGGCGUCUGUAAAGUGGGGGAUGUGGGGUUCUAUCCUAGUGAUGCAACUGGAAAGUGAAAGCUCUCGCACUGCGUGGGAGAGCAGAAAUCCGCUCUGCGUCUUGAAAUAGUUGCACGUGAAGUCCUGCCCUCAACUUGCGACCUGCAACCUGCACGGCAUGGCUCUCAGGAGCCCAUUGUAGGGGCGGUUGUUGCACUGCUGGGCUCCUCCAGCUCUUGGGGGUCAGCGUGGCAUCGCACACCCAGGGACGUUGGCGUCAGGGGGAGCCAAGCCCAGCAUCGUCAGCACAGCUGUCAGGGCCCCGGCUGGGCCCUAAUGAGGCCCCCAGGUGCCACAGGGCUGGGCUGCCCUAGCACAGCUGCGCCUUAUCGGCAGCUCAGGGCAGGGCCCGCCCUCAACGCCUCUUAAACCCCCACCAGAGCUUGCUGGGAUCCACUGGGGGCUGCUGGGAGCUCAGGGGCUCAUUCAGGGCUUGCCGCAGCAUGCUGCCAGGCUCCCACACUGCUCUCUCUUUUUGGGGAGGGUGCUGGGCUUCUGCUGGGCUUUUUUGGGGUCUGGUUUCUGCUGGGCUCCUCUGCUCUUUUGGAGUCAUCGUGGGGUGGCCCUGCUGGGCUCUGGCCUUGUUUUCUUCUUUUUGGUGGUGGUAUGGGAUUGCUGUUGGUGCCCCUGCCCUCUUUGGGUCCAGCACAGGGCUGCUCUUGGCUCCCCUCUGCUCCUUAGAGCCUAUGCAGCACUUUUGCAAAGCAGCUCUCCUAGCCCCUUUGUGGGGUUAGUUAAGGGCAGUUUGCAGGUGCCGCAGCAAUGGAGGAGAGCAGGAUGGAGCUGCACCCCUUAGCCCGGAGCUGCUGGGGGUCAGAAGCAUCGCAAGGGGCUGCUUUCAAAACAGCAAAUGCUGGGGAUAUCCAUUUAAUCACGUUUGUUCUCUCUCCUUUUUGUUUCUCUCUUGCAGGGCGAGAGCUCCAGCGAGGAUCAGCCCGCAGUACCGAGCGGCUGUGGCAGCGAUGGGAGCGUGGAGCUGAGUCCCGGGGGUCCGGGCGAGCACGUUCCCUCGUGCCCAGACCCCGGGGGCUCUUUGCUUGCAGCAGGAGGAUCCUUUUGCCCUUCUAUUGGGGUCGAUGCAGUGCUGCUGCUGGGCUCCCUACCUUCUUUUUCUGGGUUCUGCUGGACUCCCCAAGGCAGAGCGCAGCCCUGGGGGUGCCCACUGCCCCCCUUGGUUGCAGCAGCGGGGGCGUGCAGGAUGGAACCACGGUUGUCCCCUCCCCAGCCCUAUUGCUGCUGGGAGUAAGAAGCAACGCCAGGGACAGCUAAGUUGAAAGCAGUGCUUUAAAUCACUUGCUGUGCUUUUAUCUUUUUGAUUUCCCCAAAAAGCUGUUGCAAGGUAAGGUGCUUUGCAGCAGGGAUCAGCCCAGAGAUGCAAGGUUCCCGCUGCACUGGGACCGCAGAGACGAGCACUGGGAUGUGGCGGUGUGAAUCUUUAGUUUUACUCAUGAAUUUUGUUCACAGAACCACAGGAUUGUAGGUGCUGGAAGGGACCUCCGGAGGUAAUGAAGUUAACCCCUCUGCAAACUGCAUCAUAGAGGUGCUCCAGGCCCUGCAUCGUCUUUGUGGCCCUCUGCCAGACUUCUUCCAGGAGAUCCCUCUCUUUGUUUGUACUGAGGAGCCUGGAAUGGGAUGCAGUACUGCAGGUGUGCAGCUCUGCAGCCCUUCCUGUGGGACGGCAGCACAGCCUUCCGGUGCAUCAGCUGCUCUUCCAAGGUAGAUGACAUCUGCUCUCUCCUCCGUCUGCAUGCCUGGCGAUGCCAUUGUGGAAGACUGAGGGCCUUGGUUUGUGGGUUUCACUACAGCAGCGGCCCCUCAGAGGAGGUUUGAGGAGCUGUUCUCGCCACAGGGGCAGGGCUGGAGCAAGGUCCUGGUGCCCUCUGUCUAAGGGAGGAAGGCUGCCAGCUGUGCCCUUGUCCCCUGUUGGGGUUGUGGGGUGAUGGAGCUGCUUGGCGUCCAGGAGGAGCUGAGGGGAUCUGGCAGCUGUCUGAUGUUUUGUGUUCCUGAUGGGAGCAGUGGCUUCUGUGAGCAGUGCCAAUUGUCCAGCUUUCCCAGGGUGUGGAGGAGCAGCAUGAUGGGGGCUCCCCGUGCGAGACCAAGGAUUUAAGCUGCUGCUGCUCAGAGUGGUGUGGUUCCCCUUCUGUCUGUGGUAAGCUUGAGGUGGAAACAGAAGUGGUAGAUUUCAAAUGUCUGCAGGAGAAGAGAACAUGCUUGUGAGUAUCUAACAUCUCUGGCCACCAGCAAUAGCUUACCAGCAGCUUGAGGCCUUUGGGUGCAUGGUAAUGCUAUUCUGUUCCAGGAGCUGGAGCUUGAAAUAAUGCUCUUGAGUGGGGAGGCUUGCUGCUUUGCUCUAUCAAAGGAAACAAAAACUAAAUUGGUAAAUCAGUUUAACAAAAAGUACAAAACAGAAAUGCUUCUGAGCCUCUUUAUCUUAUCGUAAGAGAUGUAUAAAGAAAUAAAAUAUAGUUUUCUGUGUGUGCCUUAGUCACAGCAAAUAGGAUAAAUGAAAACUGAGAUUCUUUAGCAGAACUAGGAUACAGGAGCGAGUGCUUCUAAACAGAAGUCACUCCAAACAAUUUCUUGUUAUUGCAGGCCACCUUUCCCAGCCCUGACCUGUGGGCGCCCGUUACGACACAACCUUCCUAUCAGCAGACAUGCACACGGUCUGAUGAAAGCUGCUGGAAACUUGUGCUGUGGCCACAUGAGCAGAGACAGCCUGAUUUGGUGCUAUUCCUUACUUCCCUG
ensembl:lncRNA